rnacentral:lncRNA from 1 species
GGACUUAAACACAGAAUUGCCUUAUGAUCCAGCAAUUUCACUUCUGGGUGUACACUCAAAGGAAAGGAAACAGACUCAAGGAGCCACUUGCUUGCCCGUGUCCAUAGCAACAAUUCACACCAAUCAGAGGAUGAACAAAACCCAGGCUCCACCCACCCAUGACUGAAUAGAAGACUAUCUAUCCUUUAAAACGAAGAAAAUGCAGCAACAGGAUACUAGAGGACAUCAGAGCGAAGCAAACCAAUAACCAAGGGACAACACUGCAGGUCUCCACUCGUUCGUUCACAGUGCCUAAAGUUGUCAAAAUCAUAGAGACGACAAGAAGCAGGUGGUGGUCGUCACCAUGGGCUGGUGAAGGGAGACAGAGAGGUUCCGGUGAAGCUCAAGGACUUGGCUUCAGUUAGCUCCGUGGCCGCAGGCUGCUUCCUCAGGCCUUAGACUGUCAAACUUGUUUCCCUCCAAGUUCGGGCUCCUGGCGCUAUCAACUUAGGUGUCACUUUGCCAGCCUCAGCACCAUGAACCCUGAAAGUGCAGGACAGGUCCCUCAAGAGCUCAGAGGAGGAGCAAAGAUAACCCACACAGCUCUGGGGUCAGAAAGUAAGUCCCAUCGAGCCUGGAAAUGGGUUGGACAUGCACCAUCACCUCCAAGAGCCACAGGGCAGAAGCCACCCCAUGCCCAGCACAGAUCAACAGGUACACAGUGUAUACACAACCAGUGUAGGGACAGUGCUCAACCCAUAGAAAGGAAGAGAGCUCUGACACAUGUUACAUACAGUGAGUGGCCCUGGAGAGGGUUGUGUGAAGGGGAGGAGGGAGGG